AUAGCUUCCGUGUUCGACGGCUUCCGUUUGUUUCAAGUGGUUUUAUACCGAUGUUUGAACUGAACUCUCGGAGCCAAAAGAACUGUCCGCUAUGCGAAUUUUUCCGUCUAGUUCAGGUUCCGCUGUAGACAGUUUUCACUGUACAUACAUCUCAUUCUGAUGAUCAGAAACUGAAGGGAUGUGAUAACCAAGAGCUGAGAGCAUAUUUUGGCCUAAGGGAGAGAACUGCAUGAUAAGGACGCGCUGCAGUGUGUAUAUGUUUUCUAUCUGCUAAAAUAAAUUUGAAAUUCCGUCAGAAUAUUCCUACAGGUUUUCUGUUUGGCCCUAGGAUGGAGACGGACUACCUGAAGAUGGCGCACAAUCUGCAGAAGGAGCCCCACCUGCAGAAGGAGCCCCACCCGCAGAAGGAGCGCCUCCCGCAGAAGGAGCGCCUCCCGCAGAAGGAGCGCCUCCCGCAGAAGCAGCCUCACCUGCAGAAGGAGCCCCACCGGCAGAAGGAGCGACGCCUGCAGAAGGAACGGCGCCUUCUGAAGGAACACCACCAACAGAAGGGGUGACUCCCGCGGAAGGAGCGGCACCUGCAGAAGGGACGCCAGCAGCUGAAGGAGCGCCACCUGCAGAAGGCGCACCGCCUGCAGAAGGAGCACCACCCACAGAGGGGACGGUUCCCGAAGUACCACCUGCUACAGAAGGUGCUGCGCCACCUACUGAUGUUGCCCCUGCUGAGGCUCCAGUUACAGAAGCCCCUCCUCCAAUCGAAGCUGCAGCCUAGAUGUCGACACUCCGUUGAGGAGCGGAAGAGGUGCAAGCAGGGCCACAGAAGCGAUGUUAUGAAAACGUGUGAAACCAAACUCACGUCUUAGCCUCUUCUUUGCGACAGUAACGCCAUCUGAGGGGAGCGCAGGAAAUUAUUCUCUUCAGUCCGAUGUUGCUUCAUUGUUUCGCCGAUUCUGACAAAUAUGUUGGGACUGAUACUUUUUGGUGCUUCUAACUAAAAAUAACAAUUCGUUUCAUCUUUUCAUGUCGACACACAAAAUCUAAUUUUUUUUUAUGGUGGCUGGCGAAGUCACAUAGCAGCAACGGACCUUUUAAAGACAAACAAUUAACUUCAUCUGCAGUAACGUAUAAAAUAUAAAUGUUAUGUGUUAUUUACAAUUGUGUGGUGAGAAGUGUGAAUCUAGGUUAAUAUUAUUACGUUGGCUAGAUUGUUGUUUCAAUUGAAGUACAUGCAAUUAAAUCUGUUGGACAAGGUACAGUCACGGGGGAAAGAAAGAGCGCUUAAUUAACUUUAAAGAGUAUUGAAAUGCCACCAGGUGGCAGGAUGACACACACAUCCCGAUGCGUAAAUCAGCGUUUGCUUGUAUUCAACUAAUCUCGUGAACAGCUGCUCUGUUUGCAGGGAGCCAUCCUCAAAGGUCUACUAUUCUCUAGAAGAAAAAUCAACAUAAUUUCAAUAACAAUCACUAAAAUUAAGACCAAAUUAGUAUACAAAUUGGCAAAAUAGAAGGUAUACACACUGUUCUUCCGCCAUUUUCUUGUACUGUCAUGCCAUUGCAUAAGAUGGCUACGGAAUUCAUGUGACUAGCACCACUUUUUUUUUGAGAAUAUCACAUUACACACUUUACAUUGUAUUUCGGUUCAACUCUGUGGUUAUGUCCGUGUAUAUACACUAUUUUUGGGGCCCGUCUGUAUUUGUUAAGUAAAGGAACGUAGUAAGAAGCGGGAAUUAUGUUUCUCCCCCUGCAAAUAGUCGCUGUUGCAUUACGUAUUCAGUUUCAGAACCUUGCUGCUGUGUGUAUAGAGAUGUAUCUAACUGGGAAGUAACCAAAUAUUAUUUUGUUUUUGUCGCCUGCAGAAUGUCUGGGGAAAUAUACUCUGAUAUGGAUUAACAUAAUUGUAAGUGUAUAUAUCGGUUAGUUGGAAAUGCGAAGUAUAAAUCAGUAUUUUUACACGUGUCGGAACCUCUGAUUGCAUGUCAGUACACGAGUUCCGUGAUUCCAUCUAUAUAUAACAGACAGUCACGAUUUAGAAAUAUAGAAAAUAUAGAAAAAGACUAGUCAUUUCUUUGUUGUCACUAAGAGUAACGUCAUGUAAAUAACUCUGUUACUGCCCUCUUACAGUGUAAAUUGGUGGCUUUUGUAAUAAAGUCUGAAAUAUAUUGUUA